rnacentral:lncRNA from 1 species
GCGACAGAUCACGACUCCAUCUCAAAAUAAAUAAAUAAAUAAAUUAUACAUUGGGCUCUUUUGCCUUUUAUUCUUGUGCUUUCUAAUCACAACUAAACACUAAACUCACAUCUUGGCUUUGCAGAUCACUCUAAGCUUGGCUGCAGCUGUGGUGCUGAGGAGGCUAAUAGAGAAGCUCCCUCGCUCUCAACCCCACCCCUUCCUUCCGGGAGCAAACCCAAGUCUGGUCCCGACUCCGGAUCCCUCCCACAUUAGACCUACCACACCCUCAGGGCAGACAACAGCUCCACACACCCCACACUCAGCCACCAGGGCAAGGGAGCAAAAUUCCAGAAAGCUCAGAGCGGACUGAUGUACUGGCCCUUAGUACAGCCUCCAGGAUAUUAUGUGUGCACCGGCGUGGGAUCCUGGAACUGGCAGGAAUUGUGGGUUGUGUUAGUCCCUAGACUCCCAUCGCCUAUAUGAAAUAUGGUUCCUUUUGUGGCUUGGGAGGCCAUGGCCAGCCCUGCGAUGCCAUUGACUGGUUACCAUGCCAGCAAUGAUUCCUUUUGAGUUUCUGACAGAAGAUAGUGGUUUUCAUCCAAAUAAGUCAACUACUCUACCCCAUCCCUAAGCCACUUGUAUGGAAAGAAAAAGAGGAAGAAGCCAGUACUGUGACUGCGUAAGCUUCCCCCAGCAUCACCCGCUAUGAGAUGUGUGGCAGCUGAGACCCGGGAACUGCUCAAGGGCACCAGGCCCCAUCUGUCUGCACUCACUCACCUUCCUCAG